CGUACCGACAGUGGACGGCUUGGGUGCAUGGCAGGUUGGGAAAAAAGUACCGACUACCCAUACCUUCUUGUGCUGUGGACAAAAUCCGGAAAGCAUUUCCUUCGCCUUCUGGAGAAUACAAAGGAUUUGAAUAUGCUCAACACUACUGAAUGCGAGAUUUAUGUUGCUUAAUGGCUUCAGCUUUGCUGAUUUUUGAUUUGUGGUGAGUCAAUGGGACAGGUAUUUCUUUCACUCCAGCGACAUCAAGAGCUUUGGACAGUGUUGGAUUAAUGCGUCUGCAGUACAAAACUUCUUUCAUCAAGUCCUUAACAUAUCCUGAAAAGCAAAUCAUUAUUUAUGUUGGCUUUGCAUUGCACUUUGAGAAAAGGCUCUAACAUAUCAUGUUCACAUUUUGGGAAUACAUCACUAUGUCCCUCAUGGAUGUCACAUAUAUGAUUGAGAACUGACAACCACUUUGCCUUGACAAGUUCUUUAUCACCAUUGCUGGAAGCAGCACACCAGUAUACAUGGUUGGAAAUUGAUUGGGCCCAAUCCGACAAUAAUUUGCAACCAUUU